GAGAUGAUUGUAUAUUCACAGUGUUAUUAUAUUACUCAUGCAUGUUACUGACUUAAAAAUUAUUGUACAUAUUAUUGAAAGAAUACCAGUUUAAUGGUUGGUACAUUUUAAUUGUGUUAAUUGACUAUGAAUAGUAUCAAGAUGUUUAAAGAUUCAACAAAAGAACAAGAACGACCCUGAACUACUUAUUAACAAUAUGGUUGACAGAAUUAUGGAAAGCACACACCUGUACCUUGCUAAAAAGGAUUGUGAAAACAGAUUGUUUUAUUCAUCUAGCAUUUUUGCCAAACAUAUAAGGGGUUAUUAGUUUGUUUCUAAUUGUUUAGAUUAAUUGAAAGAUUUGAAAAAAAUACUAUUUACUGCUAUUCUU
rnacentral:lncRNA from 1 species